rnacentral:rRNA from 1 species
AUGAACGCUGGCGGCGUGCCUAAUACAUGCAAGUCGAGCGAACGGACGAGAAGCUUGCUUUUCUGAUGUUAGCGGCGGACGGGUGAGUAACACGUGGAUAACCUACCUAUAAGACUGGGAUAACUUCGGGAAACCGGAGCUAAUACCGGAUAAUAUUUUGAACCGCAUGGUUCAAAAGUGAAAGACGGUCUUGCUGUCACUUAUAGAUGGAUCCGCGCUGCAUUAGCUAGUUGGUAAGGUAACGGCUUACCAAGGCAACGAUGCAUAGCCGACCUGAGAGGGUGAUCGGACACACUGGAACUGAGACACGGUCCAGACUCCUACGGGAGGCAGCAGUAGGGAAUCUUCCGCAAUGGGCGAAAGCCUGACGGAGCAACGCCGCGUGAGUGAUGAAGGUCUUCGGAUCGUAAAACUCUGUUAUUAGGGAAGAACAUAUGUGUAAGUAACUGUGCACAUCUUGACGGUACCUAAUCAGAAAGCCACGGCUAACUACGUG